CCCCAAAACUAAAACACAAACCUAAGCUCAGUCUCAACCUCCAUUCUCAACCCAGACUCGAGCUCCUACUCCUCCUCCUCCUCACCAUCACAAUCCUCCCUCCUCCAUUCUCCAUUCUCAGGCGGAAUCUGAAGCGCCGAGAUCCCGACCUCGAUCUAAAAUUGAAGUAACAGCUCUGAAUCCUGAGCCCGGCCUCGAUCUGAGAUUGGUAGAGUCGAAGAAAUUAAAGAGGCUCCGAAUUCUGAGCUCCCUCUCCACCUUGCUCAACAGCUCGCUCUGGUCUUCUCCGCCCUCUGCUCCUCAACCCGCCGAUUCAAUCUCCGAUCACGAAGACAACGGCUUACCAGAGGCUAGAAUUUGGGGUCGCUGACGGUCUCCGUCAAACCCUUGCCAUCCGAUUUGGUCAAAAAGCUUCUCUUCCAGCUCCUGAAGGGCGUCGACGACUGUAACGAUAACAUCAUCCUCACCGAAACCUAGACCUAAGAACCUGCUGCUUGACCAGAAACAACAGAGAAGGUCAUCCUCAAGAUUGGCGAUGGGAUCAGUCAGUCUUUUGCUUUCUUUUGCGAGUUUUUAUGCCGGAGAAGGUCACUCUCUGUUACCAGGCGCUGGAGAUUUCUUGGGUCCACAGAUUACUCGACUUGGCGGACAUUUGGGCCCUCGGCUGCAUCUUCGGUUGUGUGAAGGUGGAGAACUACUGGAUAAAAUUUUGUCCAGGGGUGGAUGAUACACAGAAGAAGAUGCUAAAGUUAUUGUUGUGCAAAUUUUAAGUGUUAUUGCCUAUUGUCAUCUUCAAGGUGUUGUGCAUCGUGAUCUAAAGCCAGAGGUACAACUACAUUCAGAGUUUCUACUUUCCACUACUUUCUUGCAUUUGGAUGGAAUAGUAUUGAAAGUCCCCUCCACAUGUAGUUUGUUUUACAUCUUCAGUUCUCGUCCGAACUUAUUACCAAUAACUCUUUUCAUUUGACUGCUUGGCAGAAUUUUCUUUUUGCCACAAGAGAAGAGGAUGCUUCAGUGAAGGUUAUUGAUUUUGGUCUCUCCGAUUUUAUAAGGCCUGGUAAUGCUUCCACAUACUAUUUUUCUUGGCUUCAAGAAUGUGUUACUGCACUUUGAUUCAUGCCUUGGACUUCUUUUGUAAUAGGCUAAUAGCUUCUUGCUUAUAUUAGUUGUGGUUGUAGUGUUUUUUUUUUUUUUUUUUUUUUUUUUUAACUCAGAUGAGCUUAAACUACAGGUUUUCUGGGAUCUUUGGAGGCAUUAAAGAAUUACUUUGACUGCUUACUUAUAUAAAUUUUAAAACAAGUUUGAGUUUUUAUAUUUUAUCUUACUGAUAAAGACUGUAGUAUUUUAAAGUAGGAUUUUAUUCUGUGUAAUUUAUAAACUGUUGAAGGGAAUACAAUUUCUUGCCACCACUAUUAGACUAUUUAACUAUAGGAGGAUCUCUUUGGUAUGUAUAUCUGUCAUGUUUAGUGGAUAGUUCAUUAGAUAAUGAUGUUGUCUGUGGCACUUUGCAAUUUCACUUCCUCUCUGUGCAUAUAUCUGUUCAGCACUUUUACUAAAAUUAUGAACCGCAGGUAAUGCUAGCCUUCUUUUCGUCGGGCAUGAAUUUGUUGUCAGGUCUUGGUGCAAAGAUUGAGAGAGAGUCCAAGCUGAAGCUCAAUGACUUUGACAAGUCUUGGUGCAAAGAUUGUCAGGUCAUUCAAUAUUGUGGACUUGUCAAGUAGAUAUGCUUCACUAUCAUGCUUAUCUACAUUUUCAGGCUUUUAAGAAAAUACUUGCUGAAAAUACAUUUUCAGGCCCUUAACUUGCUUUUUUUUUUUCUUUGUUUUUUUAGUAAAAUGUAGGAACCCCCAGUAUUAUAGUCUAUUUAAACCAUGAUGCAUAUGGAACUCCCACACAUAAAUGUCUUCUAUAAGAUUGAUUUGAUACAGAACUAUGGAAAGCUAGGUAAUGGCUGCAACUUUCUUCUCUCUUUUUUUUUCCUUUGCUUACACAUGGCUUGCAAUGUAACUGUGUGGAAAGGUGAUAUGAUAUUAUGGGGUUUUGCUGCAUUUGGAAAGGAGUUUGCCUGCAAUUUCAUGUCUUUGCUUUUGACACAGGUACUUGCAUGAACUUCUUACUCAAAGAGAUGAAUUUGACACCAUUGCUUUGUUGAUCCGGCAUCUACAUAUAAUUGUGAAAGACCAGACUUUGUACAUAUUGAAGUGGCUGAUUAUAUACAGAGUUUGGCUACCAACAUGAUUUUGAGUAUGACUAGUUUUUGCUUUGAAGUAAAGUUUGGGGUUGAACUUUUGUAGUUAGUUGCUAAUAUGUUUAUGAGGAUUUGUAGGUUUUGAGGAUUUAUUUUGUGAAUUAUAUAGAAUCAUGAAUGAAGAUGAGAAAAUUAAUGGAAAGCCCCAA